GCCGGGCAUGGUGGCACAUGCCUGUAGUCUUAGCUACUUGGGAGGCUGAGGUAGGAGGAUCCCUUGAGCCCAGGAGUUUGGGGCUGCAGUGAGCCAUGAUGACACCACUAUACCACUCCAGCCUGGGCGGCAGAGUGAGACCCUAUCUCAA
ensembl:misc_RNA Metazoa_SRP Metazoan signal recognition particle RNA